rnacentral:miRNA from 1 species
GUAGGGAGUGGGGAGUUGAAAGGCAAUAAAAUGAAUAAAAAAUUGAAAAUUGGGAAAAAGCUCUCUUCCCGAUUCGGGGAAGAGAGCAGUUCUGAUAAUAAUAAUAAUACAGAACUGCUCUCUUCCCUGAAUCGGGAAGAGAGCUUUUUCCCGAUUUUCAAUUUUUUAUUCAUUUUAUUGCCUUUUGCCUUUUUCAACUCUCC